rnacentral:rRNA from 1 species
UACAGAGGGUGCAAACGUUGCUCGGAAUUACUGGGCGUAAAGCGCGUGUAGGCGGGCCGAUAAGUCAGGCGUGAAAUCCCCGAGCUCAACUCGGGAACUGCACCUGAAACUGUCGGCCUAGAGUGAUGGAGAGGGUAGCGGAAUUCCUGGUGUAGAAGUGAAAUUCGUAGAUAUCAGGAGGAACACCGGUGGCGAAGGCGACUACCUGGACAUUAACUGACGCUGAGACGCGAAAGCGUGGGGAGCAAACAGG